GUAGCGGCGAGCGAAACGGAAACAGCCCAAACCAACGAGCUUGCUUGUUGGGGUUGUAGGACUCAGCUGUGGUAGCUGUUGUGAAUAGUUGAAUGACCUGGAAAGGUCAGCUAAAGAGGGUAAAAGCCCCGUAAACGAAAUUGACAACACACCUAUGAGUAUCCUGAGUACGGCGGAACACGAGAAAUUCCGUCGGAAUCCGGGAGGACCAUCUCCCAAGGCUAAAUACUCUCUAGUGACCGAUAGUGAACCAGUACCGUGAGGGAAAGGUGAAAAGCACCCCGGAAGGGGAGUGAAAUAGAACCUGAAACCGUGUGCCUACAAAAAGUCAGAGCCCGUUAAUGGGUGAUGGCGUGCCUUUUGCAGAAUGAACCGGCGAGUUACGAUUGCAUGCGAGGUUAAGCUGAAGAAGCGGAGCCGUAGCGAAAGCGAGUCUGAAUAGGGCGAGUGAGUAUGUAGUUGUAGACCCGAAACCAUGCGACCUACCCAUGUCCAGGUUGAAGGUGUGGUAAAACGCACUGGAGGACCGAACCCACGUACGUUGAAAAGUGCGGGGAUGAGGUGUGGGUAGCGGAGAAAUUCCAAACGAACUUGGAGAUAGC
rnacentral:rRNA from 1 species